rnacentral:rRNA from 1 species
ACGGGUGAGUAAUGUCUGGGGAUCUGCCCGAUAGAGGGGGAUAACCACUGGAAACGGUGGCUAAUACCGCAUAACGUCGCAAGACCAAAGAGGGGGACCUUCGGGCCUCUCACUAUCGGAUGAACCCAGAUGGGAUUAGCUAGUAGGCGGGGUAAUGGCCCACCUAGGCGACGAUCCCUAGCUGGUCUGAGAGGAUGACCAGCCACACUGGAACUGAGACACGGUCCAGACUCCUACGGGAGGCAGCAGUGGGGAAUAUUGCACAAUGGGCGCAAGCCUGAUGCAGCCAUGCCGCGUGUAUGAAGAAGGCCUUCGGGUUGUAAAGUACUUUCAGCGGGGAGGAAGGCGAUGUGGUUAAUAACCGUGUCGAUUGACGUUACCCGCAGAAGAAGCACCGGCUAACUCCGUGCCAGCAGCCGCGGUAAUACGGAGGGUGCAAGCGUUAAUCGGAAUUACUGGGCGUAAAGCGCACGCAGGCGGUCUGUUAAGUCAGAUGUGAAAUCCCCGGGCUUAACCUGGGAACUGCAUUUGAAACUGGCAGGCUUGAGUCUCGUAGAGGGGGGUAGAAUUCCAGGUGUA